rnacentral:rRNA from 1 species
UACGGGGGGGGCUAGCGUUGUUCGGAAUUACUGGGCGUAAAGGGCGCGUAGGCGGCCUACUAAGUCGGACGUGAAAUCCCUCGGCUCAACCGGGGAACUGCGUCCGAUACUGGUGGGCUCGAAUCCGGGAGAGGGAUGUGGAAUUCCAGGUGUAGCGGUGAAAUGCGUAGAUAUCUGGAGGAACACCGGUGGCGAAGGCGGCGUUCUGGACUGUAACUGACACUGAGGAACGAAAGCCAGGGGAGCAAACGGG